UGGGGAAUAUUGCACAAUGGGCGAAAGCCUGAUGCAGCAACGCCGCGUGAGUGAUGAAGGCCUUCGGGUUGUAAAGCUCUGUCUUUUGGGACGAUAAUGACGGUACCAAAGGAGGAAGCCACGGCUAACUACGUGCCAGCAGCCGCGGUAAUACGUAGGUGGCAAGCGUUGUCCGGAUUUACUGGGCGUAAAGGAUGCGUAGGCGGAUUUUUAAGUGAGAUGUGAAAUACCCGGGCUUAACUUGGGUGCUGCAUUUCAAACUGGGAAUCUAGAGUGCGGGAGAGGAGAAUGGAAUUCCUAGUGUAGCGGUGAAAUGCGUAGAGAUUAGGAAGAACACCAGUGGCGAAGGCGAUUCUCUGGACCGUAACUGACGCUGAGGCAUGAAAGCGUGGGUAGCAAACAGGAUUAGAUACCCUGGUAGUCCACGCCGUAAACGAUGAGUACUAGGUGUAGGAGGUAUCGACCCCUUCUGUGCCGCAGUUAACACAAUCAAGUACUCCGCCUGGGAAGUACGAUCGCAAGAUUAAAACUCAAAUGAAUUGACGGGGUC
rnacentral:rRNA from 1 species